GACUACUGGGGUAUCUAAUCCCAUUCGCUCCCCUAGCUUUCGUCCCUCAGUGUCAGGUUCAGCCCAGUAGCACGCUUUCGCCACCGAUGUUCUUCCCAAUCUCUACGCAUUUCACCGCUACACUGGGAAUUCCUGCUACCCCUACUGUCCUCUAGCUUCCCCGUUUCCACUGCCUUUCCGAAGUUAAGCCUCGGUCUUUAACAGCAGACUUGAAAAGCCACCUACGGACGCUUUACGCCCAAUAAUUCCGGAUAACGCUUGCCUCCUCCGUAUUACCGCGGCUGCUGGCACGGAGUUAGCCGAGGCUUCUUCCUCAAGUACCGUCACUUGCUUCUUCCUUGAGAAAAGAGGUUUACAACCCAAAGGCCUUCCUCCCUCACGCGGUCUUGCUCCGUCAGGCUUUCGCCCAUUGCGGAAAAUUCCCCACUGCUGCCUCCCGUAGGAGUCUGGGCCGUGUCUCAGUCCCAGUGUGGCUGCUCAUCCUCUCAGACCAGCUACUGAUCGUUGCCUUGGUAGGCUCUUACUCUACCAACUAGCUAAUCAGACGCGAACUCAUCCUUAAGCAAUAAAUCUUUCACCUUUCGGCUCAUCCGGUAUUAGCAGUCGUUUCCAACUGUUAUCCCCGACUUAAGGGCAGAUUUUCACGCGUUACUCACCCGUCCG
rnacentral:rRNA from 1 species